rnacentral:lncRNA from 1 species
CCACAUUCAUGCAUAUUACAGUAAUCACACUCGAUACACACACACUUCGGAGAUAGAGCGGAAGACUUUACAAAAUAUAUUUUACAUUUCCAAAGCUCAAGUUUUACAACAUAAGAAGAAUUGUAAUUAUUACAAGUCCUGAUAGUACCCAAAGUGCAUAACUUAUUAAAAUAGUUGGAAGGGUGAAGCCUUUCCAUAAGAUAUAUACAUAAACAUUCUAAGCUUCAAGGCCUCCACAUGAAGUAACUAACCAAAAGAUAAGGGAAUAAAACUUCUCCUGCAAAAACAACAAGGGAUAAAACCCUGAGUACGCAAUUACUCAGCAAGACUUACCUGACUAAAGAAAAGACUCUCAAGGGUAUGCUAGCUGAUUGGGAAUCAAGGUAAAGUUUAGAGAAAAUUCCUGGUAUGCCAUCAGAUUUUAUACUCAUCCCUUGUGUGCCACUGAGUGGCAUAUAGGUAUAUUUUUUGGUGUCUAUGACAUGUGGGGCCAGUGGCAUACAAGGAAUGAGUAUAUUUUCCAGUGGCAUACAGGGAAUUGGCCCUAAAGUUUAUCAAUGAUCAAAGACUCCUUUUUGCAGAAAAGCUUGCUACCAGUUGAUCCUUAAGCCAAAUUUUAUUUCACUAGUUAGGUUAUUACCUGAAUCUAUAUUUGCAUGGUCUAGUUCAAGCACUUGGCCUAUACUAGUUGCAUUUUAUUCAUUCUCAUAUUUCACUUGCUAACUACGAUGAUGGUCACCGGGAUGAGUCUCCAUAACCGAGGAGCAACGACGAUUCGAACCGAUUAUACCCAGCUGGGGAUCUCUAACCACACGACAUAUGUAGCACUUAACCCUUGCAUAUGUCAACCGUUCCCACGGAGUCCUCCACUACAUGAACAGGUCCGCGCCACCCGAGAGAACAUUACCUACCAGGCGUGCUCUGUGCCAGGAGGGUACAUGCUACUCUCGCCAUCUCUCCACUCCCAGUGCGCGAUUGUCCCUUCACGUAUGGAAUAGCCGGGUUCAAGCUUACCCUGUCCCAUACCAGGGUAUGUGGCUAGUUGCAAAGUCUCAACCACAACAGGCCAGUCAACGGUACAGUCCUUAAUCGACACAGACGGGCGACUUUGUCUGCUCAGCGCCUGGUCUAGAUUUAUUAACCAUUUUCCCAUUUUUGGUACCCGACAGGGGUACUCUUUUCCAAUGAUGAGCCCACUCCGGCCGAAGUGGAGUCAUCACUUAGUUUGCUUUGAUUUUUGAAUCAAAAAGCCCAUAACCAAUGUUCCACAAUCAUUCUUUUGAAAACAAAUGAUUUUUCAGUUUCUAAGCAGGGUUAAGCAUUAUCAGUUCUUUUUAUAAAUCAGGGAUCAAGGUAUAGUAUUCAAAUUCCAAGGAAUGGUAAUGCAUCAAUUGUUCAUCACACAACUCCUAUCACCUAAUGCAUCAUUUAAGGUGAUAAAGCAUUUAAAACACAAGGAAGGGGCAAAUGCACCGGGGCUUGCCUUAUUACAGGAGGAGAUCUGAGAUCUUCUAUCACGAUAGGCAGUUAGAUGGAGUCCACCACUGGAUCAAUAGCACUGGAGUAGGUUCCAUCUUCACAAGGACCAAUUCUUGUUCUUGGUGUUCUACAUGAAAUGAUAUGAAUAUGGAUAUUUACUUAAACUAGGAAUAUGCAACUUGCAAAGGAGACAACACAUAUUAUUCCUAGACUUAACAUAUAAGCUAUCAUCACAAGCCAUAACUACCAGGGAGCUACUUAUCCUUAGAAUUCAUCUAACCAUUCACAACUUGCUAAACAAUUUCAUCCUUUACUAAGACAUCAGGUGCCUUAAUUACCGAGGGGUAAAACUCUUUUUCUUUAUUGAGCAAUAAUUAAUUUACUAAGCAAAUCUUGUCCAAACAGUUCCAAACUUUAUCCAAGGGUUCAUAUGCUCAAGAUAAGCUUACACAAAUUUUCCUACAAUUUUUAGUGCUCUAUUUUUAUUACUAAAAUUUCAUAUAAGUUCAUUUAAAGCAGGUUUUAUUCAUCUAAAAAUAUUUAUUUGCUACAAAAACUCCAAAACUAUUUUUACCUGGAACGCUACCAAUUUACCUAUCUAACCAAAUUUGUUUUACUAAUUUAGCACUUUUCCACAAUUUUUGGUAUAAAUAAACAGACAUUAGGUAAAAGAAAAUGCUAAACACAUGAACAGUCUCGGGCCAGAACUAACCCAGCCAGCCCAACUCCAGGCAAAACCGGCCCACUCAGACAGCGCUUACAGCCCUAGGCUCCAGCACCGCGCGCGCCCGCGCUUCCUCUGCGCGUGUCGGCGGCUUCCAACUUCGAUGGUGUUAAGCCGGAAUGACGAUGCAGUAGAGUUCCCAACCAUGGUGGAGCAGGCACUUGCGACUCACCACAGAGCAGACCAACCCCAGAUCACGCACGCAACCGGCCCCAGACAAGGUCUGCCACGGCGAGACCGUUCCCAGCGGCGUUCACCGGCGGCACCGCGGCGUUCCCGACGAGACACUGCAGUAGAGAUGAAAAGGGUAGUGCCAUGAGCUUCACUGGCUUAAGGAGAUUACUGAACGCGAGUGACACGGGUGAGCAACUCCUCGAGACGACACGGCCACAGUGAGAUGAGAAACUGAUGAGCUCAGUCACCAGAAAAGGGAGAUUGGCAUGCGAUGAACAAGAGCAGAUCGAACCUGAUGGCCGGGGAGAGUAAACACCGACGUGAACAUGAACCACAACACUCACACGAUGCACUCUCGCUAGAACUCAAGAACGGGAAGAGACUUCACUGCCCUGGCCCUGCAGCGACUAGAUAAAAGGGUAGUGCAAAGUGAUUGAGCUCGGCCGGUUCACGGUAGAGAAGGCUUUGAUGGCGCCAGCACAACAUGGCUCAAACACGUGGCUAAGCUUCCAAGCCCCACGCCAACAUGCAAGCAACACCAAAGCAUCGAACUUGGGUUGGUUCACAGGCACACCACAAAUAUCCACUCUGCUCAGAAAUUCAGACAUAGAGGAGAGCAGAUAAGGACCCACUGUUCCCAGACAGUCCAAAACUUAGAUAUUUCAGUGGGGAGAGGCAUCUCCCUUGGCCACGCAUUUUACUCUUAUCUCCAUCCACAUAUUUAAAGUAACAUUUGCAGGGAAAAGGAUCUUCUUUAUUUACCAACUGAAACUCUGAAUUCAACCAAAUCAGGCCUGCUGCUCCCAUUCCCCUCCUCACUGUUUAAGCCCUUUGAUUUUAAAUUCCCCUUAACAAUAGACCAGACUUACUUAACCAAAAUUACUCUCCAAACCAAGCUCUAUCACUUUGGUAUAACAACCCAGGGCUAAAAACGUCUUGGAACAAAAACUAUGAUGCCCAAAAGUAGAGAAAAACCAACACUGGCAGCUCAAUCUCAAUUGACUGAAACAGCCCAUACCAAACUAACAUUAAGUUGUGUAACAGAAUUUUCUCUAAUUUCUUCCGAGUAACAAGCCCAACUCUUUAUAUAAAAAUUGUUCACCUUAUAACAACCUCCAACAUUUCUAUGUACUUCUUAAUCUGCAACUUGAUGGAAUGGUCGCAAGAGUGCCCCAAACUGAUUCAAGUUUCAGCUAUCAGCACCUGAAUCCCACACUUUUCUGACAGAACCCCCAUCUUAAUCCCCUUAAAUCUCAUGAUUCCAAAUGGUAACAGUGAAACGACCACAACAUAAAUUGCUCUCCCAACAUCCUUCUACAUCUUUGCUGCAGAAUCCCCAGUCCAAAACUCCAUGGAUUUGGUACUACAGACCUCCAAAGUCGAGCACAAAUUCACAAAAACUCAGUUUGCAGCUAACUGAACCAGAGUUCAGACCAUACCCAACUGACAGAGGAUGUUUAGGUGCAGUUUAUUCUUAGAUUUGUACAGCACUAAGCCUACCUCUCCUUAGAAAACUUACUCACCUUACUUUGGUCUCCAAGUUCUCUACAGAAACUACGGCCUAAAAGUGCAUGGAUUGAUCAACAAGGAGGUCCAAACUGAGCAUCAUACUGAACUUUCAGUUUCAGCUAUUUGAACAAAAAUUCAGUUAGUGCACACUGACAAUCCAUUUUUGGGCAAAUUUUACUUUCCUUUUUGUUUGUGAUCAAGCCCAACUCACUUAAAGGAGUCUGUUCACUAUAAUAUGGUCUUCAACUAAUCUACAGAAACCAUAGUCCAAAACUUCCUAAAUUAGCUACAAUAGAGCUCCAAAACUGAACUAACAACACUGAUUUCAGACUUAGGCUACUAUUCAAAAUCUGAAGAUCCAGAAGUCUGACAGCCCUACUUUGAACACAUUUUUUCUCCUAGUUGCAUAUGGUUUUAGGGCUGCCACAUUUCAUAAACGUUAUUCUCCUAUAGUUACUCUACAGGUUUGUUAUAGCAACUGUUUCCAAAAUAGUCAUGGAUUAUAAGUUACAGGGAUCCAAAAACAGAUAAACAAAACUGUUUUGGGCUGAUUCCAAUUGACCCAAAUCUGAACUUUUGCAAAUUACUUCAAAUUCUCCCACAUCACUUGGAGAGCUCCAAUUAUGAAAAUUGUUCACUUUCCCAAGCUCCACGACUUUUAUAUACGGACUUUUAGCAAAACAUAGCUAAAUCUUAAAAUCCACUUUUGCGCUAGUUUAGAGUUGAAAUUGGACUUGAUCUGCUUCAAGUGCUUCAUCAAUUUAUUGCAUCCUACUAAAAACAAGGUUAACCUUAAGCUCAAACCCAACUUUGGUGUAUAGAGCUUAUGUCCAAAUUUCCAUUAGUUUAAAAGUUGCUUGUUUGUACUAGAUUUCAAACAAGGUCUCUGAACUUCUCUUGCUCUCUUCGAAACGACACAACCUCGCCCUUUUCUCCAAGUUCCAAAUGCUUCUGAGGCCAAGUUGCUUAAUCAAAUUGGUGCUCCACAAGUUUGGUACAAUGACCCUUAGCUAGAACCAUAUGGAUUCUAAACCAUCAAAGCCCAAAGUUGGCAUUAAACACACAGAUUCAGACUUUGGUUUUUCACCAAGUUUGAAAAUCCAAAAUUAAACACUACAUUUUUUACCACUGUUUCUACCAGUUCCAAAUAGUUUCAGAGGUAUGAACCUUAACCAAACUUAUACCCCAACAUGUGGUCUUCCACUUUGGUACAUAAACUGUAACCCAUAGCUGUAUGGAUUAGCCACCAACAGGCUUCCAAAGUUGCUUCAGCAUAUAAAAUCUUCAGUUUCAGAUAUUGCAGUCUGAAAUUCAGAUUCUGACAUUCCCACUUUGGACCAGUUUCCACCUAGUUCCAUAUGAAUUUAGGGUUACGUAGCUUAAACAAAUUUACACAUCUAGUGUAGCUCUACAGCUUUGCUACUGUGACCAUCUUCAAAUUGCCUAUAUAUCAAAAGUUAUGAAGAUUCAAAGACAACUACUUGAUAUUGUUUCCAGCCAUCCAACCUUAGGUCCAAAAAGUUAAUUUUUGAGUUUUCUCCACUUCUUCCUAUAAAACAUGGAAAUCUCUAUACCUGAAAGUUGUUUGGGUUGGAGAACUCUAUAAAUUUGGUAAUUUGACCUUUUGGCAAAUUAUUGCCAAAUCACAAGUUCCACUUUUGGAGCUCUAAACUGAGAUUUUCAAAACCAGGUCCUUCACUCUUCAUUAAUCACAACAUCAUACUUAGAUUAUUUUGGAUCCUAGUGAAUGCAUUCUAAGUGUAUCAAGCAAGUUAAUGCAAAUGCUGAUGAUGACAUGUCAGAGUUUUAGUAAUCGUAACACCAGGGGUGUUACAGCCUUCCCCCCUAAAAGAAAUCUUGUCCCGAGAUUAAAAGUCUAGACUCAGUAAUGGAAAAGAAAAUGUGUCACCGGUUUAUUUUCCAUUUACUCCUACAAGGCAGGGGGUGUGCCCCCAUCGAAAGACAACUUAUACAAACCUAGGGUUUACAAGACACUAGGAACUCAGGAAUAUACUUUUCUAAAUACUUCUCUGACUACUACGCGACUUUAUCUUCUGGGUGUUAGUUCCACUGUAUUUCGUAAAAGUCGGUAACUUUUCUUCGAGUGACCCGAUCCUUUUGAUCUAACACCUUUAUGGGAUAUUCCGAGGAGGUUAAACCUGGUUUAUGGUUAACAUCUGAAAUCUCAAUACCAUAUUUGGGGACUCGAAGACAUUUCUUCCAUUGGGACACGUGGAACACGUCGUGCAGUGUUGAAGGUCCUUUUGGCAAUUGUACCUUAUAAGCUAUAGGUCCACCAAAAUCUCCGUUUCAAACCUUGGUACCUAUUGCUACCUUCAAGGUGAAUGGAGUCCCGGACUGCAACCCAAUCGCAAUUCCACAUCCCUUUUUGGAGGCAACUAGUCAAAUCUUCGAGGAACAUAUCCGAUAACUCCCUCACAUCAGGUAUAUCCUUUACUUCUUUCACUUAAACUCCUAAUGUAGACAAAUCUUAUUAUUUCCUAGAAUAUCCUGACUGACCAUCUCCUUAUAUCCUUCAACCAAACUAAUUGCCAUCAGGAGCUAAAGUUUCACAUUAAGAUCAAGUAGGAUGUAUUACUUUUUUUUUCACUGGCAUCCACAUAAUCCAAAACAUACUGGGAUAGGCGAGUAAACCUCUCAAAUAGUCCAUUACACUCGCUUCUUCACCUUGCUUUAGAUCCAAAAACGCUUUUAACUUUAUUUACAUAGGGGCUUCUGGAAUACGACGUGCCCGAAAUACCUCACAGAACUCAACCCGAGAACUUAAUGUCCUUCUAGCUGCAGCGCAAGGUAUUCUGCCCGCCAACUAAACUUGGCUUCCAGUCUUCAAAAAAAGGAAAGGUAGCAUAGAAAGGCAAAGACAGAUAGCAUGAACAGGGUAGACGAAACACGUACUAAACCUACUACAUGGGGGUUUAACUUAAAGUUAUAUGUCAUGAUGCAUGCUCGUCCUAUUCGUCCUCACAAUCUUGCCAGCAUAUAGUGGCUUGCACGCUCUAUGGCGGUGGCAUAUCUACUCACUCUGGAGUUAACUAGUCGUAAUUUUCUAGAGUUUAGUCAGUGUACCUGCAGAAAAUUUCAUUACAGCCCAAACCCCAUGAUGCAAUUCACACAUAUAGUCACAGUUUAUACUCCAUAUAUUUCUAUAUAGAGGCCAGCUCCUCAUUAAGCGCCGAGCCACGCAUAGGCGCCGCUGCCACACUUUAACCACAGGGCAGCCCAUUGUGGCAACUAUUCAUUACACUUCUCAGCACUCCCAUGUUUGUAUACCCAUACACAUCCAUGGGGUACUGAAUCCUAAAAAAAGUAAUUACUCCACAUUGCAACCUUUAUAUAUACAUAUGUAGAAUAUGUAUAUAGUCUAGUGCCACAUUUAAGCACUCCCCUAGACCGACGUUUGUUCGGUCAUGCUCUCACAACUCACCUUUACCUGAGCGUCGAUCCAUUCAAAACUGAAUGGCACUAAAAAUAACAUUACACAUGUAUGCAUUACCCUUCCCAGGUUGUGGGUUAGUGGUUAGCAUCUUAAACUAAGCCACCUGAUAGUCCGUAGUUUUAACCACAUACUAUUUGCACUUGUACUAUCAAGCCUUGAUUAUAGAUUCUUAAGUUUAUAAAAAUCAUUUAGACUCAAAAUCAUUUUGAAGUUUAUCAAAGGAUUACUUUAAUAUCCAUGCUAAUGGGGGAUCGCUCCGAUACCACACUGUGACAGCCCUCCCAAGUUAUCAGGCCCACAUGCACCAACUCUUGCCAUUAACGGCCUCAGAUGGUUGUGCACGUGUACCGGGUAACUUAACAAGGCUAUCACGAGUUCAACAACUUGAACUCAUUAUCCCAAGGAUCUCCCACAUUCAUGCAUAUUACAGUAAUCACACUCGAUACACACACACUUCGGAGAUAGAGCGGAAGACUUUACAAAAUAUAUUUUACAUUUCCAAAGCUCAAGUUUUACAACAUAAGAAGAAUUGUAAUUAUUACAAGUCCUGAUAGUACCCAAAGUGCAUAACUUAUUAAAAUAGUUGGAAGGGUGAAGCCUUUCCAUAAGAUAUAUACAUAAACAUUCUAAGCUUCAAGGCCUCCACAUGAAGUAACUAACCAAAAGAUAAGGGAAUAAAACUUCUCCUGCAAAAACAACAGGGGAUAAAACCCUGAGUACGCAAUUACUCAGCAAGACUUACCCGACUAAAGAAAAGACUCUCAAGGGUAUGCUAGCUGAUUGGGAAUCAAGGUAAAGUUUAUCAAUGAUCAAAGACUCCUUUUUGCAGAAAAGCUUGCUACCAGUUGAUCCUUAAGCCAAAUUUUAUUUCACUAGUUAGGUUAUUACCUGAAUCUAUAUUUGCAUGGUCUAGUUCAAGCACUUGGCCUAUACUAGUUGCAUUUUAUUCAUUCUCAUAUUUCACUUGCUAACUACGAUGAUGGUCACCGGGAUGAGUCUCCAUAACCGAGGAGCAACGACGAUUCGAACCGAUUAUACCCAGCUGGGGAUCUCUAACCACACGACAUAUGUAGCACUUAACCCUUGCAUAUGUCAACCGUUCCCACGGAGUCCUCCACUACAUGAACAGGUCCGCGCCACCCGAGAGAACAUUACCUACCAGGCGUGCUCUGUGCCAGGAGGGUACAUGCUACUCUCGCCAUCUCUCCACUCCCAGUGCGCGAUUGUCCCUUCACGUAUGGAAUAGCCGGGUUCAAGCUUACCCUGUCCCAUACCAGGGUAUGUGGCUAGUUGCAAAGUCUCAACCACAACAGGCCAGUCAACGGUACAGUCCUUAAUCGACACAAACGGGCGACUCUGUCUGCUCAGCGCCUGGUCUAGAUUUAUUAACCAUUUUCCCAUUUUUGGUACCCGACAGGGGUACUCUUUUCCAAUGAUGAGCCCACUCCGGCCGAAGUGGAGUCAUCACUUAGUUUGCUUUGAUUUUUGAAUCAAAAAGCCCAUAACCAAUGUUCCACAAUCAUUCUUUUGAAAACAAAUGAUUUUUCAGUUUCUAAGCAGGGUUAAGCAUUAUCAGUUCUUUUUAUAAAUCAGGGAUCAAGGUAUAGUAUUCAAAUUCCAAGGAAUGGUAAUGCAUCAAUUGUUCAUCACACAACUCCUAUCACCUAAUGCAUCAUUUAAGGUGAUAAAGCAUUUAAAACACAAGGAAGGGGCAAAUGCACCGGGGCUUGCCUUAUUACAGGAGGAGAUCUGAGAUCUUCUAUCACGAUAGGCAGUUAGAUGGAGUCCACCACUGGAUCAAUAGCACUGGAGUAGGUUCCAUCUUCACAAGGACCAAUUCUUGUUCUUGGUGUUCUACAUGAAAUGAUAUGAAUAUGGAUAUUUGCUUAAACUAGGAAUAUGCAACUUGCAAAGGAGACAACACAUAUUAUUCCUAGACUUAACAUAUAAGCUAUCAUCACAAGCCAGAACUACCAGGGAGCUACUUAUCCUUAGAAUUCAUCUAACCAUUCACAACUUGCUAAACAAUUUCAUCCUUUACUAAGACAUCAGGUGCCUUAAUUACCGAGGGGUAAAACUCUUUUUCUUUAUUGAGCAAUAAUUAAUUUACUAAGCAAAUCUUGUCCAAACAGUUCCAAACUUUAUCCAAGGGUUCAUAUGCUCAAGAUAAGCUUACACAAAUUUUCCUACAAUUUUUAGUGCUCUAUUUUUAUUACUAAAAUUUCAUAUAAGUUCAUUUAAAGCAGGUUUUAUUCAUCUAAAAAUAUUUAUUUGCUACAAAAACUCCAAAACUAUUUUUACCUGGAACGCUACCAAUUUACCUAUCUAACCAAAUUUGUUUUACUAAUUUAGCACUUUUCCACAAUUUUUGGUAUAAAUAAACAGACAUUAGGUAAAAGAAAAUGCUAAACACAUGAACAGUCUCGGGCCAGAACUAACCCAGCCAGCCCAACUCCAGGCAAAACCGGCCCACUCAGACAGCGCUUACAGCCCUAGGCUCCAGCACCGCGCGCGCCCGCGCUUCCUCUGCGCGUGUCGGCGGCUUCCAACUUCGAUGGUGUUAAGCCGGAACGACGAUGCAGUAGAGUUCCCAACCAUGGUGGAGCAGGCACUUGCGACUCACCACAGAGCAGACCAACCCCAGAUCACGCACGCAACCGGCCCCAGAUAAGGUCUGCCACGGCGAGACCGUUCCCAGCGGCGUUCACCGGCGGCACCGCGGCGUUCCCGACGAGACACUGCAGUAGAGAUGAAAAGGGUAGUGCCAUGAGCUUCACUGGCUUAAGGAGAUUACUGAACGCGAGUGACACGGGUGAGCAACUCCUCGAGACGACACGGCCACAGUGAGAUGAGAAACUGAUGAGCUCAGUCACCAGAAAAGGGAGAUUGGCAUGCGAUGAACAAGAGCAGAUCGAACCUGAUGGCCGGGGAGAGUAAACACCGACGUGAACAUGAACCACAACACUCACACGAUGCACUCUCGCUAGAACUCAAGAACGGGAAGAGACUUCACUGCCCUGGCCCUGCAGCGACUAGAUAAAAGGGUAGUGCAAAGUGAUUGAGCUCGGCCGGUUCACGGUAGAGAAGGCUUUGAUGGCGCCAGCACAACAUGGCUCAAACACGUGGCUAAGCUUCCAAGCCCCACGCCAACAUGCAAGCAACACCAAAGCAUCGAACUUGGGUUGGUUCACAG